UGUUUAAUUAGUAUAAAAAGUACAUUUAAUUUCCAAUUAAAAAGUUUAUUUAAAUUAAACA
rnacentral:tRNA from 1 species